rnacentral:rRNA from 1 species
GGACUAUCAUGUCGGUCGUGCCUCGGUACGUACUGGUAUUAUUGGUUUCUCCCUUCUGACGAACCAUGAUGUCAUUAAUUUGGUGUUAUAGGGAAUCUGGACUGUUACUUUGAAAAAAUUAGAGUGUUUAAAGCAGGCAUUAGCUUGAAUACAUUAGCAUGGAAUAAUGAAAUAGGACGUUUGAUCCUAUUUUGUUGGUUUCUAGGAUUGACGUA